UUACGACCAUAUCACGUUCAAACACCUGAUUUCUUACAAUCAGCGAAGUUAAGCAACGUCGAGCCUAGUCAGUACCUCGAGGGAUAAUCGCUUGGGAAUACCAGGUGAUGGAU